GGGGCCUAUAGUCCAUGAGAGAGAGAGAGAGGAACAAGCACUGAGAAACUGUUAUUAUAACUGUCUGCACACAGCAACUAAGAACCACCUGCGGACUGUGGAUAUCCCCCGAUCAAGCUGUCGAAGUUGCCCUGAGAACAGUGAGAGAAUACCUGGAGCCAAAACCACGAGAAGCUGGACCGGGUCAUCUUCUGUGUGUUUCUGUAGUCUGACAAAGAGCUCUAUAAAACAGUGUUGCCUGCAAGCUUCCCACAAGGUUCACCGCCAAAGAGCACAUUAUGAGAGGAUGGCAUAGUUGCUGUGGAAACGCCACACAAUCUGCUUUUCCGUCACAUCACUGUCUCGCGUUUACCUGAUGCAGCCCCUACAAACAACAACAACAACAGCUGCCUGACACCUGAUUUAUUCAUAUCACCAAACCAGUGCUCCACGGAAUUCAGUGAUUGCUGUUAGCUUCCCGUGGGGAAUCAUUGCUGUUGUAUUUGUGUUAAUAUUAAUAACAAUGUGGGCUUACAAGUGGGAGUUCACCCCAAAAAUUACACAUCGAUAGCAUUUCUUUCUUCUGUUUUUCUUUUUUUAAUUUUUUUUUUGGUCUGUACUGUGGAAGUGAGUGAGGUCCAUCUCUGUUGAGAUGACAGAAAUAAUAUCAUAGCUGUGCAUGACCAUUUAUGUCUCAAAUUCUGUUUCUUUAAAAUCUAUUUAUGGCUUACUCUUAUUAUUACUCCUUCCAGGAACAAUUUUCCACAGUUGCACUAAAUUAGCUUUGAAAUUAUGAAAUGUAUCAUAUGUGAAUAUUGUUUAUAGAGUUAUAGAAUAAAAAUUGAACGAAGGCAGUCAAAGGAAGAAAAGGAGUAUGUCAAUGGUUGUAACACAACCUUUAAUGAAAGUGCACUAUUUGUACUUCUUCAAUGUACUUUCUGUCUUCCAGUAUGAUAAAAGACCCUCAUUAAAGUCAACUCCUCUCUC